AUUUGACAGAUUGAAUAGUAAAAUUAAAAUUCUAAAAGAUUAAAUAGUUGAAUCAAAAUGAUCUAUAGUUUAAAUAAGCUUUAUAUAUUUUUAUUUUCUACUCUACUAAAUAUUUAAACUCUCUUUUUAUUAUCCUCUUCAUUAUUUUUUUUCGUUAAAUCAGUGAGAAAGUUAAAACUAAAAGAUAUUAAAGUGAAUAUUUGAUAAACUUAGAUGGAGUAUACAAAAGUUUUUGUAUAUAAUUUACCGAAAUAUUAACGAAGGAGCCGACGAAAAGACAAAAAUAAAAUAACAGAAUAGUAAAUUAGUACAUUUUAAAUUAUAAAGUAUUAAGAUGAGAAAGCACGAAAUCACAAGGUGAUAUUUAAAGUUUAUCCUAUAAAAAUGUAAGAUGUAUAUAGUAUAUAUGAAUA
rnacentral:lncRNA from 1 species